rnacentral:rRNA from 1 species
CAACAGCGUAUAUUAAAGUUGUUGCGGUAAAAAAGCUCGUAGUUGGAUUUCUACCGAAGAUAGCCGGUCGGGUCUUCGACCUUGUAUCUGGUUUUGUCUUUGGUAUCCUCAUAGGGAACGUUUCUGCGCUUUAUUGCGUGGUGCGGUAUCUAUGACUUUUACUUUGAGGAAAUUAGAGUGUUCACGGCAGGCAAACGCCUUGAAUAUAUUAGCAUGGAAUAAUAACAUAGGAUCUUCGUCCUAUUUUGUUGGUUUCUAGGGCUAAGAUAAUGAUUAAUAGGGAUAAUUGGGGGCAUCUGUAUCAACGCGUCAGAGGUGGAAUUCUUGGAUUGCGUUGCGACAAACUACUGCGAAAGCAUUUGCCAAGGAUGUUUUCAUUGA